UACUAGCACCCCGAGUGGUCGGGACGUUUAUUGGGCCUAAAGCAUCCGUAGCCGGUUCUACAAGCCUUCCGUUAAAUCCAACUGCUUAACAGGUGGGCUGCGGAAGAUACUAUAGAGCUAGGAGGCGGGAGAGGCAAGCGGUACUCGAUGGGUAGGGGUAAAAUCCGUUGAUCCAUUGAAGACCACCAGUGGCGAAGGCGGCUUGCCAGAACGCGCUCGACGGUGAGGGAUGAAAGCUGGGGGAGCAAACCGG
rnacentral:rRNA from 1 species